AACAACAUUGACAAGUGCGACAACAACUUGUAGCAUUGGAGUCCUACACUUUCGGUAAUGAUCUAGAGUUUUUUCUUCAAACAAAUCUAUUAUGUUGUUGCGGUUUGGCUUAAAUCGUUGGUUGUUUCUACUAAAUUGUUAUGAAUUUCAUCGUCGUUUUCCAUAUUUCACUAUCAAAAAUGGUUUGUCUUCAACUUGGUGCACUUGUUGAGUAUGUGAUGUUACACUGUUGUUAUUAAUUCUCGAUUUCCCGUAAUAAUUUAUAUAAUGGCAUGCGUAUGUUAUCGUGUCGUGUUGUUAUGUCGGUUAUAUUUUUGUUUCAAUAACAGCUUCGGUGGAAUU
rnacentral:lncRNA from 1 species